AAAUAAGAAGCAAUUUUUGCAUUUAGUUUCGACCUAAAAGUUAGAUUUAUAUCCUUAUUUA
rnacentral:tRNA from 1 species